UCCUUCCAGUAGCACCUUAGAGACCAACUAAGUUUGUUAUUGGUAUGAGCUUUUGUGUGCAUGCAUGCACACGAAAGCUCAUACCAAUAACAAACUUAGUUGGUCUCUACGGUGCUACUGGAAGGAA